GCCAGGCAUGGUGGCGCAUGCCUGUAAUCCCAGCUACUCAGGAGGCUGAGGCAGGAGAAUCGCUUGAACCUGGGAGGUGGAGGUUGCAGUGAGCCAAGAUCACACCACUCACUGCACUCCAGCCUGGGCAACAGAGCAAGACUCUGUCUCAA
ensembl:misc_RNA Metazoa_SRP Metazoan signal recognition particle RNA